UGCGGGCAAAUCACCUUGAAACACCGGCUCCUGUACGAUCACCGAAGUUAAGCAACGUCGAACUUGGUCAGUACCUAGAUGAGUGACCGCUUGGAAAUACCAGGUAAUGUA